UACGUAGGGUGCAAGCGUUAAUCGGAAUUACUGGGCGUAAAGCGUGCGCAGGCGGUUAUGUAAGACAGAUGUGAAAUCCCCGGGCUCAACCUGGGAACUGCAUUUGUGACUGCAUAGCUAGAGUACGGUAGAGGGGGAUGGAAUUCCGCGUGUAGCAGUGAAAUGCGUAGAUAUGCGGAGGAACACCGAUGGCGAAGGCAAUCCCCUGGACCUGUACUGACGCUCAUGCACGAAAGCGUGGGGAGCAAACAGGGAUU
rnacentral:rRNA from 1 species